AGUGAACGCUGGCGGUAGGCCUAACACAUGCAAGUCGAACGGCAGCACAGUAAGAGCUUGCUCUUACGGGUGGCGAGUGGCGGACGGGUGAGGAAUACAUCGGAAUCUACUUUUUCGUGGGGGAUCACGUAGGGAAACUUACGCUAAUACCGCAUACGACCUACGGGUGAAAGCAGGGGAUCUUCGGACCUUGCGCGGUUGAAUGAGCCGAUGUCGGAUUAGCUAGUUGGCGGGGUAAAGGCCCACCAAGGCGACGAUCCGUAGCUGGUCUGAGAGGAUGAUCAGCCACACUGGAGCUGAGACACGGUCCAGACUACUACGGGAGGCAGCAGUGGGGAAUAGUGGACAAUGGGCGCAAGCCUGAUCCAGCCAUACCGCGUGGGUGAAGAAGGCCUUCGGGUUGUAAAGCCCUUUUGUUGGGAAAGAAAAGCAGCAGGUUAAUACCCCGCUGUUCUGACGGUACCCAAAGAAUAAGCACCGGCUAACUUCGUG
rnacentral:rRNA from 1 species